CGUUUUUUGUUUGAUUCAGCUCGUCUGUUUUGGCGUGGCUCGCUUUUCGUUUGUCUAGUUCGUUCGUUUUGCUGUUUUGCUUCGUCCGAUUUCGGUCGUUUUGUUAGCAUAGGAUUGCUUCUUUGUGUCAUAGCGUGUGUAAAUUCGUCGGGUUUAUUCCGUGAUGGCGUCGUUUGUUUUGGAGGAGUUUCUGGCGGAUCCGUCGCUGGAUCUCCUUCGUAAAUUGCGGAAGGAUGCCUUGGUGGCGUUAGCUAUUCAUUCUGGUGUCUCUGUUCCUAAAACUGUUCUCAAGAAAGAUUUGAGAGCUCUUGUUGUUAGUGUGUUGGUGGACAGGGGAGUUAUUGUGUUGCCGGACAGGGGAGUUACUGUGUUGCCGGUGCUGUCUGAUUUGCCUGUGGGUACUCCUGUGCUUGAGGGGGCGGUAACCCUCGAUCCUCCAGGAGAGGAGGAGAAGCCGGCCGAGCGGAUUCCCUCAGAGCCGGGUGAGGUAGGCGUGCGGCCUGACGCGCCGUUUACACUACCUCGCUACGAUCCUCUCUCCUCCGUCAGCACUGAGAGGCCAGACUGAAAGUGCGGUUGGCCCGACUCCAAAUGAAAGCUCAGGAAAAAGCUGAGGUACGGCAGAAUCAGCUAAAGUUGAAGAUUCGCAAGUUAGAAAUUGAGGCUGACAAGGAAGUCCGCCUGCGUCAGCUGGAGCUACAAGCUCAGCUGAGCCCAGCAUCGGCUGCAUCUCCAGAUACAGGCUGCCGGCAAUCCGCUCCACCUGUGCUGGGUAAUUCGAAUCAGGUGCUGUGCCCUCGUCAGCCAAUCCGGUGCGGCCCUGGUUCAGCAUAAGAAGCCGGAGUGCCUGAGAAUCGUCGGCAGACUGGAGUACAGUGGUACUCCAGUCUUGCCCAUGUGCCUCAUCGUCUUAGAAACUUUGUUAACCAUCCGGUCGCUCUGUUAUUGUGGAGGCACUAGUCUUUUCAUUGCUGUUUGUUACACACGCUGUGUUUAGGUUUAUUGGGUACAUUUAGGAUCUUUUUGUUAAAUUGAUAGCUCUAGUUUAGAGUCUCUUUUUGUUCUCAUUUAUAUUUAUUUUUACGUCGUGACUAGUGUCCUCCGUUUCUCUUUAAUUUUGUACCUCAUUUUCAUUUCUUCAGAAUAAAUAUCUUUAAAGCCAUAA